GAGGCUGAACCUGUUUUCUUUCUGCUCUGCUUUUAUGUCUGGGUAUAAUGUGUGAAUAGAGAAUAUUGUACCAAACAGACUGCCUUACAGUGCUGUAGAGCUUAGGAGGGAUCAGCAAGAAAAGUGGUCGUAGUAGGAAGUGGAGGGAGAUGCUGAGACUGCCCCCCGUCAGCCAGUGCAGUGAGCUUCGCCAGUCCAUCGAGAAGGAUUACAGCAGCCUCUGUGACAAGCAGCCGAUCGGAAGACUUCUCUUCAGGCAGUUCUGCGACACGAAAGGGGAUCUGAAGAGGCGGAUUGAGUUCCUGGACGCAGUGGCAGAAUAUGAAGUGGCUGCUGAUGAGGACCAAAGACACUGUGGGCUCCUGGUCUUGGACACAUUCUUCGGGGGAAAGGGUUCGCCAGCGCCUCUCCCAGAAAUACCUGAACACGUGGUGCUCAAGUGCAGGCAGAGGCUGUGGGAGGACCCGGCCAAAGACGUCUUCGAGGAGUGCACCAGAAUUGUCCAUGACCAUUUAAGUGAAGAGGCAUUUGAAGAAUACCAAGGAAGUGCAUAUUUUUCUCGCUUUUUACAGUGGAAAUGGCUGGAAAGGCAACCUGUGACAAAGAGCACAUUUAGGCACUACAGAGUCCUGGGGAAAGGCGGGUUUGGAGAGGUUUGUGCUUGUCAAGUGCGAGCUACAGGAAAAAUGUACGCCUGUAAGAAGCUAGAGAAGAAAAGGAUAAAGAGGAGGAAAGGGGAGGCCAUGGCCCUGAAUGAGAAGAGGAUCCUGGAGAAAGUGCACAGUAGGUUUGUAGUUAGUUUAUGCUACACAUACCAAACCAAAAAGUCCCUGUGCUUGGUGCUAACCAUUAUGAACGGAGGGGACCUGAAGUUUCACAUUCACAACCUGGGCGACCCCGGCUUCGAGGAGCAGAGAGCGAUCUUCUACGCGGCCGAGCUGUGCUGUGGCUUGGAGGAUCUGCAGCGGGAGCGCAUUGUGUACAGGGACUUAAAGCCCGAGAACAUCCUCCUCGAUGAUUACGGACACAUCCGGAUUUCAGAUCUUGGUUUGGCCUUGGAGAUCCCAGAAGGGGCGAAGAUCAGCGGAAGAGUUGGAACGCUGGGCUACAUGGCUCCAGAAGUCAUCAACUCUGAGAGCUAUACAUUCAGUCCUGACUGGUGGGGGCUCGGCUGUCUGAUAUACGAGAUGAUUGAGGGACAUUCUCCGUUCAAAAAAUACAAAGAGAAGGUUAAGCGCGAGGAGGUGGAGCGGAGAGUGAACAAAGAGACAGAACAGUACUCCGAGAAGUUCUCUGAGGACGCCAGGUCCAUCUGCAGCAUGUUACUCACCAAGGACCCUGCACAGCGCCUGGGCUGCAGGGGCGAAGGGGCGGCUGAAGUCAAGGGACACCCCGUGUUCAGGGACAUCAACUUCAGGCAGCUGGAGGCCCACAUGUUAGACCCGCCUUUCCACCCUGAUCCACAGGCGGUUUACUGCAAGGACAUCUUGGACAUCGAGCAGUUCUCCGCGGUGCGGGGCAUCCAACUGGACAGCACAGACAGCUGCUUCUACAGCGAGUUCGUCACGGGCUGUGUGUCCAUCCCCUGGCAGAACGAGAUGAUUGAGUCUGAAUGUUUCAAGGACAUCAACGAAAGUGAAAACGAGCCAGUUGUGGACGAGCCAGCUGUGGUUUUAGUGCCAGAUGAGAAGAUGAGUCAGCAAGUUCCCAGGCAGAAGAGAGGCUUCUUCCACAGGCUCUUCUCCAGAGGGCGCCUGUUGUGUGAGGGGAUGCACAUGGUGUGCAAGCUGCCCAGGCGGUGUGUGUGAGCAGCGAGAAGAGCCCGCCCAGAGAUGUUUGCUCUUGGUAUGAACUCUGUCCUGAUGGCAAAAGAAGAAAUGGCUCCAGCACUCGGAAAGAGACCCCGCUGUCCAUGGCAACGCGUCUCACACUAGGCUCGUGAAGCAUUCCGAAGAGCCAGCGUGAAAGAACGAAAGCCCUUUCAGUCUCUGCCUGGUGGUGUUCUGAUUCUCAGAGCUGUCAUGUCAUUCACCCGCGAUCAUGGGGAAAGCUGAUUCUCCUUUGAAUGUGGAAGAGUGUUUGGAGAGGCUUUCUGUGGUAGCAUUAAACUCAGGAGUGGCUUCCAAGUCUCCUUGGACCGUGGAUCAUCCUGCCGUAUACCCUGUCCGCUCCAGAGGGAUUUUGCCUCAGUCAUCCACUAAACAUUUCAUCCAUCGUGUCUCAGUAUAAACCCAGAGAAUGUGGCCAGGGCUGCUUCAACACUGGCUCCAGCAAGAAGAAGGUGGUGUCCUCCAGACGGUGAGCAAGCGCUGCGUGGCCAGACCACACGGGAGCACGUGCUGGGGCCCUGUCCCGCAGGCAACCUGCCAUAAACGUGUGGGACUCGCCUCACAACGCGGCCAGACCACACGGGAGCACGUGCUGGGGCCCUGUCCCGCCUGCAACCUGCCAUAAACGUGUGGGACUCACCUCACAACGUGGCCAGACCACACGGGAGCACAUGCUGAGGCCCUGUCCCGCAGGCGACCUGCCAUAAACGUGUGGGACUCACCUCACAACGCGGCCAGACCACACGGGAGCACGUGCUGGGGCCCUGUCCCGCCUGCAACCUGCCAUAAACGUGCGGGACUCACCUCACAACGUGGCCAGACCACACGGGAGCACGUGCUGGGGCCCUGUCCCGCCUGCAACCUGCCAUAAACGUGCGGGACUCACCUCACAACGCGGCCAGACCACACGGGAGCACGUGCUGGGGCCCUGUCCCGCAGGCAACCUGCAAUAAACAUGCGGGACUCACCUCACAACGCGGCCAGACCACACGGGAGCACGUGCUGGGGCCCUGUCCCGCAGGCAACCUGCAAUAAACGUGCGGGACUCACCUCACAACGCGGCCAGACCACACGGGAGCACGUGCUGGGGCCCUGUCCCGCCUGCAACCUGCCAUAAACGUGUGGGACUCACCUCACAACGUGGCCAGACCACACGGGAGCACAUGCUGAGGCCCUGUCCCGCAGGCAACCUGCAAUAAACGUGCGGGACUCACCUCACAAGGA